rnacentral:rRNA from 1 species
AGCGAACGCUGGCGGCAGGCCUAACACAUGCAAGUCGAACGAACCUUUCGGGGUUAGUGGCGGACGGGUGAGUAACACGUGGGAACGUGCCUUUAGGUUCGGAAUAACUCAGGGAAACUUGUGCUAAUACCGAAUGUGCCCUUCGGGGGAAAGAUUAAUCGCCUUUAGAGCGGCCCGCGUCUGAUUAGCUAGUUGGUUGAGGUAAUGGCUCACCAAGGCGACGAUCAGUAGCUGGUCUGAGAGGAUGAUCAGCCACAUUGGGACUGAGACACGGCCCAAACCCCCACGGGGGGACGCGGUGGGAAUUCUGGCGAAAGGCGAAAAACCGUGACACACCCGUGCCGUGUGAAUGAGAAGGUUCUUAGGAUAGAAAAUUUUUUCCCCGGGGGACGAUAAGGAGGGUCCCGGGAAAAAAACCCCCGCCUACCUUCGUG